AACAGAUCUCUAACUAAAUGUAAAAUGUGGGUCUGCAUUAUUGUUCAUGGGAAAACGAUGCAGUUAAGGAAGAAAAAUACACGUGUCUCCUGGCUUUUCAGGAAUCCCUCUUCACUCCCCAAUCCCCACAUCUACAGCUCUUUGCACACCAGGCUAGAGGAGAAAUGGAAGAAGGCAUCAGAAAACAAUGAAAACAGUCAACCCCUUGAUUGGCAAGGAAAAGGAAUCACACUCAGGAUGGUAGAUCAGAGACAUAGAGAGACAUACCUGGGCAUGGAGGUGAAGAAAAACUAUGAUUGCUAAGCAUCGGCUGAGAGAGAACGGCCUCAUGCCUGCUGUAUGAGCCCCAGCACCCUGUGAUCAUACCAUGCUGGGUGAACUUCAGGGCAACCUUUCCAGGGUUUCCACUGCAAGAUGAAUGAUGUCUUCACUACGUAUGAGAUUCAUGUGAAAUUUAACCCAAUAUAGUCAGAAAAUCUUUAAGGAUACCUACCCUCCAUGGUAUUUUCUCAGGCCUUUGAGGCACAGCAUGGGGAUAUCAGUUUAUUUUGCAGUAGCUCUGUGACUCAGUGUUUGGGAUGCAACUUCUACAAGACAGUAAAGAAAGAGAAGCACACAUCCGAAAAGUCUGUGGAUGGAUGAAAAAUAGAAGACUUGGGAGGAACAAGAAAGCAGAGGAUGGAAGGGAGAAGAAACUGAGCAUUUAAGAUCAACAAAUAGGAAAAAAAAAAGGUGAACCACCUCAGUGGGGUAAAAAAGAAUCUGGCUGUUUAUAUUACAAGAGGACAUCAAGCACAUGAUCAAAGUUUACACAAAUCCUUCUUAUAUGGUAGGUGAUGGUGAAAUAAGAAUGAGAAAAAAGCCUUUAUCCGCUAUUGUUUUAUAAAGUCAGAGAAUAACAGAUUUCUGACAAUGAUUCAAGAUUCGAGUUCUUCCCCCCUCUGCACUGAAAAAAGAUAAUGCUGGGAAAAGGGAAAAAAAAAAAAAAAAAAAAAGAAAAAAGAGAAAUUCACCAGAUAUCCAAUUAGGGGAAGACUAAGCACUUCAUUCAUAUUUGCUAAGUUACAGAUAGCAUAUUGGGAAACUAGUUAGGGGUUUUUGGGGGGGUUUUUAAUUGUUUUGUUUGGAAAUGCUGCAUUUUAUUGUGUAAAGGCC